CAUCAUCUGGCCCUCCGCCCGUUUCUGCUCUUUGAGCAGCUUUUUACGGAUUGCAGACAAUUUACAGAGGACUUCCCUCUCGUACUCUGCUCUCAGCUCCUUCCUAACAGCUGGGACAGAAGCUGUCUGGGAUUGGAGCCCUGAAAGAGAACCCUUCUAAAAGCGCGUCCUCCCAGCAGCAAUCUCCUCUUCCUCCACCUUUUUGUUGUUCUUCUCCUUGGCGAGACGGACCAGCUCCUUGUUUUUGG